rnacentral:rRNA from 1 species
GAUGAACGCUAGCGACAGGCCUAACACAUGCAAGUCGAGGGGCAGCACAUGAGUAGCAAUACGAUGGUGGCGACCGGCGCACGGGUGAGUAACACGUAUGCAACCUGCCUGUAAGAGGGGAAUAACCCGGAGAAAUUCGGACUAAUACCGCAUAAUACCACGAGACUGCAUGGUUUUGUGGUUAAACAUUUAUGGCUUACAGAUGGGCAUGCGUAUGAUUAGAUAGUUGGUAGGGUAACGGCCUACCAAGUCUACGAUCACUAGGGGUUCUGAGAGGAAGGUCCCCCACACUGGUACUGAGACACGGACCAGACUCCUACGGGAGGCAGCAGUGAGGAAUAUUGGUCAAUGGGCGAGAGCCUGAACCAGCCAAGUCGCGUGAAGGAAGAAGGUUCUAUGGAUUGUAAACUUCUUUUGCAGGGGAAUAAAGGACGGUACGUGUACUGUUUUGUAUGUACCUUGCGAAUAAGGAUCGGCCAACUCCGUGCCAGCAGCCGCAGUAAAAC